AGAGUUUGAUCAUGGCUCAGAGUGAACGCUGGCGGCAGGCCUAAUACAUGCAAGUCGAACGGCAGCACAGCAGAGCUUGCUCUGUGGGUGGCGAGUGGCGGACGGGUGAGGAAUACGUGGGAAUCUGCCCAGUCGUGGGGGAUAACGUAGGGAAACUUACGCUAAUACCGCAUGCGCCCUUCGGGGAAAGCCGGGGACCUUCGGGCCUGGCGCGAUUGGAUGAGCCCACGUCGGAUUAGCUAGUUGGCGGGGUAAAGGCCCACCAAGGCGACGAUCCGUAGCUGGUCUGAGAGGACGAUCAGCCACACUGGAACUGAGACACGGUCCAGACUCCUACGGGAGGCAGCAGUAGGGAAUAUUGGACAAUGGGCGCAAGCCUGAUCCAGCCAUGCCGCGUGAGUGAAGAAGGCCCUCGGGUUGUAAAGCUCUUUUGUCCGGAAAGAAAAGCGCCGGGUUAAUACCCUGGUGUCCUGACGGUACCGGAAGAAUAAGCACCGGCUAACUUCGUG
rnacentral:rRNA from 1 species